rnacentral:rRNA from 1 species
GACGAACGCUGGCGGCGUGCUUAACACAUGCAAGUCGAGCGAUGAAGUUCCUUCGGGAAUGGAUUAGCGGCGGACGGGUGAGUAACACGUGGGUAACCUGCCUCAUAGAGGGGAAUAGCCUUUCGAAAGGAAGAUUAAUACCGCAUAAGAUUGUAGCUUCGCAUGAAGCAGCAAUUAAAGGAGUAAUCCGCUAUGAGAUGGACCCGCGUCGCAUUAGCUAGUUGGUGAGGUAACGGCUCACCAAGGCGACGAUGCGUAGCCGACCUGAGAGGGUGAUCGGCCACAUUGGGACUGAGACACGGCCCAGACUCCUACGGGAGGCAGCAGUGGGGAAUAUUGCACAAUGGGGGAAACCCUGAUGCAGCAACGCCGCGUGAGUGAUGACGGUCUUCGGAUUGUAAAACUCUGUCUUCAGGGACGAUAAUGACGGUACCUGAGGAGGAAGCCACGGCUAACUACGUGCCAGCCGCCGCAGUAAAAC